rnacentral:rRNA from 1 species
CCUACGGGAGGCAGCAGUGGGGAAUAUUGCACAAUGGGGGAAACCCUGAUGCAGCGACGCCGCGUGAGUGAAGAAGUAUCUCGGUACGUAAAGCUCUAUCAGCAGGGAAGAAAAUGACGGUACCUGACUAAGAAGCCCCGGCUAACUACGUGCCAGCAGCCGCGGUAAUACGUAGGGGGCAAGCGUUAUCCGGAUUUACUGGGUGUAAAGGGAGCGUAGACGGCAGCACAAGUCUGUAGUGAAAUCCCGGGGCUUAACCCCGGAACUGCAUUGGAAACUGUGCGGCUGGAGUGCAGGAGGGGUAAGCGGAAGUCGUAGUGUAGCGGUGAAAUGCGUAGAUAUUAGGAGGAACACCGGUGGCGAAGGCGGCUUACUGGACUGUAACUGACGUGGAGGCUCGAAAGUGUGGGUAUCGAACAGGAUUAGAUACCCGAGUAGUC